rnacentral:rRNA from 1 species
UACGUAGGGGGGCUAGCGUUGUCCGGAAUCAUUGGGCGUAAAGCGCGUGUAGGCGGUUCGAUAAGUCUGCUGUGAAAAGUCCAGGGCUCAACCCUGGAAAGCCGGUGGAUACUGCCCGGACUAGAGUUCGGAAGAGGCGAGUGGAAUUCCCGGUGUAGCGGUGAAAUGCGCAGAUAUCGGGAGGAACACCAAUGGCGAAGGCAGCUCGCUGGGACGUUACUGACGCUGAGACGCGAAAACGUGGGGAGCAAACAGG